rnacentral:rRNA from 1 species
GCCUACAGUCAUACCACCACCCUUAAUGUGCCCAAUCUCAUCUGACCUCAGAAGCUAAGCAGGGUCGGGCCUGGUUAGUACUUGGAUGGGAGUGUGUGGUUGAAUGAGACUCUCUAGAAA